rnacentral:rRNA from 1 species
CCUACGGGGGGCAGCAGUGGGGAAUAUUGGACAAUGGGGGCAACCCUGAUCCAGCCAUGCCGCAUGUGUGAAGAAGGCCCUCGGGUUGUAAAGCACUUUCAGUGAGGAAGAACGCCUGGUGGUUAAUACCCAUCAGGAAAGACAUCACUCACAGAAGAAGCACCGGCUAACUCCGUGCCAGCAGCCGCGGUAAUACGGAGGGUGCGAGCGUUAAUCGGAAUUACUGGGCGUAAAGCGCGCGUAGGUGGCUUGAUAAGCCGGUUGUGAAAGCCCCGGGCUCAACCUGGGAACGGCAUCCGGAACUGUCAAGCUAGAGUGCAGGAGAGGAAGGUAGAAUUCCCGGUGUAGCGGUGAAAUGCGUAGAGAUCGGGAGGAAUACCAGUGGCGAAGGCGGCCUUCUGGACUGACACUGACACUGAGGUGCGAAAGCGUGGGUAGCAAACAGGAUUAGAUACCCGUGUAGUC